AGAGUUUGAUCAUGGCUCAGGAUGAACGCUAGCGGCAGGCUUAACACAUGCAAGUCGAGGGGUAACAGGGGAGCUUGCUUCCGCUGACGACCGGCGCACGGGUGCGUAACGCGUAUAGAACCUACCUUUUACAGAGGGAUAGCCUUUAGAAAUGAAGAUUAAUACCUCAUAGUAUUGAGACUUGGCAUCAAGACUUAAUUAAAGAUUUAUCGGUAAAAGAUGGCUAUGCGUCCUAUUAGCUAGAUGGUAAGGUAACGGCUUACCAUGGCAACGAUAGGUAGGGGUCCUGAGAGGGAGAUCCCCCACACUGGUACUGAGACACGGACCAGACUCCUACGGGAGGCAGCAGUGAGGAAUAUUGGGCAAUGGAGGCAACUUUGACCCAGCCAUGCCGCGUGCAGGAAGACGGCCCUAUGGGUUGUAAACUGCUUUUAUACAGGAAGAAACACUCGUACGUGUACGAGCUUGACGGUACUGUAAGAAUAAGCACCGGCUAACUCCGUGCCAGCAGCCGCGGUAAUACGGAGGGUGCAAGCGUUAUCCGGAAUCAUUGGGUUUAAAGGGUCCGCAGGCGGUCAAUUAAGUCAGAGGUGAAAUACCCUAGCUCAA
rnacentral:rRNA from 1 species